rnacentral:rRNA from 1 species
AUUGAACGCUGGCGGCAGGCCUAACACAUGCAAGUCGAGCGGAAGAAGGGAGCUUGCUCGUGGAUUCAGCGGCGGACGGGUGAGUAAGGCCUAGGAACCUGCCCAGCAGGGGGGGAUAACGUCCGGAAACGGGCGCUAAUAGCGCAUACGCCCUGAGGGAGAAAGGGGGGGAUCUUCGGACCUCACGCAAUCAUAAGAGCCUAGGGCGGGUUAGCCGGUUGGUGGGGUAAAGGCCGGCCAAGGCGACGAUCCGUAACUGGUCUGAGAGGAUGGUCAGUCACACUGGAACUGAGACACGGUCCAGACUCCUACGCGAGGCAGCAGUGGGGAAUAUUGGACAAUGGGCGAAAGCCUGAUCCAGCCCUGCCGCGUGUGUGACGAAGGUCUUCGGAUUGUAAAGCUCUUUUAGUUGGGAGGAAGGGCAGUAAGUUAAUCCCUUGCUGUUUUGACGUUACCAACAGAAUAAGCACCGGCUAACUCCGUG